rnacentral:rRNA from 1 species
GACGAACGCUGGCGGCGUGCCUAAUACAUGCAAGUCGAACGCACUCUCGUUUAGAUUGAAGGAGCUUGCUCCUGAUUGAUAAACAUUUGAGUGAGUGGCGGACGGGUGAGUAACACGUGGGUAACCUGCCCUAAAGUGGGGGAUAACAUUUGGAAACAGAUGCUAAUACCGCAUAAAACCUAACACCGCAUGGUGUAGGGUUGAAAGAUGGUUUCGGCUAUCACUUUAGGAUGGACCCGCGGUGCAUUAGUUAGUUGGUGAGGUAAAGGCUCACCAAGACCGUGAUGCAUAGCCGACCUGAGAGGGUAAUCGGCCACACUGGGACUGAGACACGGCCCAGACUCCUACGGGAGGCAGCAGUAGGGAAUCUUCCACAAUGGACGAAAGUCUGAUGAGCAACGCCGCGUGAGUGAAGAAGGUUUUCGGAUCGUAAAACUCUGUUGUUGGGUAGAAGAAUGUAUCUGAUAGUAACUGAUCAGGUAGUGACGGUAUCC